GCAUAGACAAUCCAUUUCUAAAUAGUUGCAUAGAAUGUUUACUUAUUGGUAUUAAAUAUUCUUGUUUGAAUAAGAGGUUUUCUUUAAUGGUUAAGUAAGCUCCUGAAGGUGACAAGUACAAGGUUGCACGAACGUGGGGCCGUAUCAAUAUUGUUACUCGGAAAUGGUUUGAUCAGUCCAUGGCCAGAAAAGGAUGUUUUAAUGAGGAGCUGUACCCUGUUGGUAGCGUUUCUGGAACUUCAAAUAAAUUGACAAGGGGUUGCUUGACUGCUCACAAUAGCCAAGAAAAGGAUAUUGGGAACUUGGAAGCUGUACCGUCCUCAUUUCUUACCGAUUCAAAAUUCACAGCAGUUGCUGGUCCUGGGUUUUCAGACAUGGAUGUUGAAGUUACUCUUUCACAGAGCACGUCUAUGUUUUCAGAUGCUUCUAAUUUUAUAAAUGAGGUUGAUGUUGAAGUGCCAGUCACGAUGGGAAGGAAUGAAGAAAACACUGUUAAUUGUCUUGCAAAUGACUUUUAGUCUGAAGAAAACGACCUAUAUUUGUCAGCAUGUAGAAUAAAAGUUGUUGGGUUUGAAGCUUCUGAGAUGCGGAAGAUUGUAAAUAUGAUUCUCAGAGGUGGAGGCUCCCGAUACAUGGUUUUCAAUGACAAAUUAACACACAUAAUAGUUGGAGAUUCGUCAGAAAUGGAGAAAAAGGAGGUUAGAGAUAUUGCUACUUCAGGAGUUGUUCAUGUGGUUAGAUCCAACUGGCUUGAAGAGUGUGACCGUCAGAAGAAGGAGAUCCCUAUUCUUGGUAGACACAUGGCAUAUGAUGAACUUAUUCCUAAAGCAUCUAGUAAAAUGAGCACCAUUGUUAUGGAUCAAAAUAAAGUUCCAAAUGUUCAUCCAAUCGUGCCAUCAAAUGUGUCAGAAGGAAAUAUUCAUGUUAGCAUUGGAAAGACGUCAAUAGCAGUGGAAAGAAUUGAAGAAAAAAGUGAAACAAAAGUGAAUGGAGACAGGAAAAUGAAAUUAUCCCAGAAAAGCCAACAAUGUGUAGCAAAUGGUACAAACAAGAGUUGAGAAAAGAUGGGGCGUGAUUUCAUGGUUUCAAAUGGGAAGUCAUCAUGUGUAUUUAAGGGGAAAAUAUUUUGUUUUUCUAGUUCCUUUCCAGAAGAUCGGGUAUGUUGUAAAGAUUCUUUCCUCUUAUUUCAAACAGCAUGAUUAAUGUACACUAUGCACUUUAGGUUUUAGAUGUAUUAUUGUGGUAAAUAGCAUCCAUUUUUUAAAAAAAUAACAAAGUAGAAGCCCUGUAUUCAAUAUCAGUUGACUUGAGUAAAGAGUAGUUCAUUACUGCUCCAACUCCAUGAUUUUAAAAGCAAGUCAAUGGUGCAGAUAGGAUUCUAGAUCUACUGUUUCUUUAACACUCCGAUCCUGUUAAGAGAAUGAUAUAAAAAAAAUGGAAAAAUUACCUUUUUAGUCCCCAAUUUUAUAGAAAUAGGUUUAUUGGUCCUUGAGUUUUCAAAAUGUACUCUUUUAAUCCUUGAGUGCUUAAUGUUAUACUGGAGACUCUCAAAACCAAUUUUUAGAAGAAGUUAUUCUACCUUAAAAAUGUAUAAAGUUAUAUUGGGGACUUUCUAAACCAAUUUUUAUAAACUUAGAGACUAAAAAGGUGCAUGACCAAAUGGGUCUAUUUUUCUAAACCUGGAGACUAAAAAUGUACAUUUUUAAAACUCAAGAACCAAACACACGUGUUCUUCAAAACCAAAACUUGGGGAGUAAUUUUCCUAAAAAAUUUAAGAUAGUGCCAAAUGUCAUUUAGCAUGUGAAAUAAUUACGAUUUUCAUUUUUCAUUUGAGGAAUAUGCCUUCAAAUUUUUUUUACAUUUUAUUUUUGAACACUAACAAACAUGCAUCAACUUUUGACUUCCAUAAUCCCAAAUAUUUUUUAUGUAUAUUUUGAGAUCAUAUUUGAAAUUCUCCUACUAGAGAGCUGAAAUUGUUGAAUGGAUAAAUCAAGGGGGAGGCGAGGUUGUUGAAGAUCACAUGAAGCAGAAAGUGCACUUCACUGUUGAAUGUCAUGGUGGGAUACCAAGGAGUACAGACGUUCAUAGUACUUAUGUGUCAAGUCAUCGGGUUCGAUCAUGUUUAGAGCUGAAUGGAUAUAUGAGUGUGUCAGCCAGAUUUUCCCGCCAGACUGUUCGCUUGUUGGUCAAGACCAUUCAGAAACUUCUCCAAUUGGUGCUUUAUCUAACCAGUGGUCAAAAAGAGCUGAAAGAAAAGAAGAUGUCGGCAAUUCUACUACUGAAGAUGGGACUGUGGGCAUAUGUGAUGGCUUUAGUGAAACACAAACAGAGUCUCAGGUGUGUGCUAUGCAAUCCAGAAGGGGGAAUGCAACUAUACCCAACUCACAGGUUGAUGACGGUGAAUGGGAGCUGUAUCCACAAGUAACUGCUCUAUGCAUUGGAAAUGCUAAAUACUUUGGCGGUGGUAUGAAAAUUGUGCAAAUGCCGAUCCUUCCAACAGGAGUCUAGAGGUAGUAAUUCUUCAGGAUUUCAAGUGGUAUGACUUUAUUCUGAAUUUACACAAAAUAUACAAUGGGACAUAUUUGACGGUGAAAAACGUAACAUCAAGAAGGUUAGUCAUCUCUUUAAAAAUUAUAAUGUGCCUAGAUUUUCCAUUUUGUAUUUCAAUUUUCUCUCUCCAACGGUCUGUUUUAUGUUCGAGACUUGUGGAAGCAGAGGUGAAGAAACUAUAAUUGAACUGGAUUUGCAUGGAGCAUUGUGAUUUUCAUUUCUGUCAAGUUUUUGCUUGAGAAAAACUUACACUCAAACUUAUAUGGAGAUGCUUUAUUUACCUAGCAGAGAAGCCCUAAGAAAAGUAAUAUUGUUAAACCUUCUUACUUCUGGCAUUCUGAUGUAUCCUCAACCAAAAUUAGAAAGUUAUAUGAUUAUCCUUUUUUCCUUGUUAAAUCUUUGUCAACGUUGAUGAACUCAAUUAAUCGAUAUCAAUGUAACUCAUCCAUGGUUGAACAUAUGAUUGAGCAUGAUUUCACAUUUCAGCUCCACCUCAUUAAAAUUCAUUGUUUGGCAAUGAUGCCCUUUUCUCAAUCAAAACUUCCUAUUUCUGCUUCUGAGCUUGUUCGUCUGCAAUGCAACUAUCAUCAGUUUAUUGUUUUGUUGUUCAAGCAGCGUUCGUUUGAUCGAAGUGGAAGAAGUUUCUUGCAGCGGCAGCAUAUAUGUUCAAUCUGAUGGGGAACACUUGGGGUUUCUUCCAAGGAAAUUCCAUAUUCUACCAGCUGCCAUUGAAAUGAUAUGCUGAACAUGAGCUCCCUUUUGCGGAGAGAGAAAAACAAUAAGCAAAAGUUUCGUAGCCGUAGGACCCUUUUUUUCUAACGUGGACUCCUCUCUCAAAUUAGAGUAGACAAAGUGCUGUUUAUGGUAUGAGGCCAUUAGAUUUAAGGUGUUAGGACUAUUGAAAAUUAGAUAUAUUGGA